UUGCUAGAGAGCAUUUUACUCCUCAAUGUGGAACUUCUCAAUGCGAAUUCAGAAUUAGUCGGUCCCAGUGCAGGUACUGAAUACCGGGUUGGAAACUAUAAAAAAAACACUGAACAAACAUUUACACUAAGAUAUCACGGAUUUCAAAUACAAGCAGAACCUAUUAAGAUGUUAAGCUGAGGGUUGUUCAAUGACCAACGUCGAUGGAGUUGGCGGGGAAUUUGAUGGAUCAGACUCUGAGAUCGCCCUGGGGGAUGUGGACGGGCUUGUGAUGAGUCUCACGUAGGUGGAGAUAACGACGGAAGGGUCCGGCCGUCGAAUUGUGAUCCCGGGGGCUUACAAUUUAUUGCUAAACAGCAAACAGGCUGCAUCGGACUUCAGAGGAUGUACCUUCAUCUAAAGACGUGGUAUUGAUCCCUCCAUCCCCCCACCCCCCUCAAAAAAAAAAAAGAAGAGAGAAAUCCAUUUUAUUUCAAUCGGAUAGGAGGGUUUUGUGCUGUGUUGUGUAGAUGCUUAUUCCUUUUAGAUAAUGCAAUGACUUGAUAAUUCUGAAUCCUAGAUAUAUUUCUGCAUUUUAUGUGAUAGAAAUUUUGUUUUCAGGAAACAAAAAGGAGUUAAUACUGAAGAGUAAAGAAAAAGAUGAAUACAAUAAGCACAAUUGUGAGGCUGCAAUCAUUAUUAAUUAUUUCCUUAUAGACAGAGUUUACAACAAGAUUUAUAGAAGGCUAAAUCGAAGAUGAAAAUUACUGUACUAAAUCAAGCUGUAUCCACUCCAGUAAUUUUCAUGUUGGUGUAGCUACAAGGUUCAUAAUCCAGUUAAUUCUCUUAUUGUUAAGUGCUUACCAACUGUACCAUUCUGGGAAAUAUGGAGAUAAGGUUACGUGCAAAGGCGGAUAUAGAAUUUUUUAAAACAUAAGUGUAUCACUAAAGAAAAGAGAAAAAAGAAAGUAUUUAGUGGGAAUUAAUCCCUCUUCCUUUGGGUAAAUAAUUCCAACAUUCAAACAUGUCGUGCUAAAUUCGGAACUGAAAGAACCUACGUCAAGUGGUCUCGAGAGUAGAUAUCUUUCAUUAUUAUUCACCUAAUGAACCAUUUCUUCUGCAACAUCAAACCAACAACAACAUAUUCAAUAUAAUUUUACAAGUGGAGUCUGAGGAGAAUAGUGUGUAUGCAGACCUUACUCCUACACUGUGAAAGCAGUGAGGCUAUUUUCGAAAACCCUCAGCCAGGGGCAUAUGUAGCUUAAGGGGUAUGGUUUCACGUGAACUCAUA
rnacentral:lncRNA from 1 species